AACAACGUAUGAACGCUUUGUUCACUUCGAUUUCUGCGUACCUUGCCAUCUCUCAAUUCAAAAGUCCGAGGUUCAUCGAGAUCUCUGAAUCACCAAGACGCCGCAGUAAACAUUGACACCGCAUCUAUCAUCCUCUUCAUCAACUGAAUCGUUAUUGCAUCGUGUAACCAAGAUGAAGCAAGAAGAACUUACUAGACUGAAGUUGUCGAAUUGAGUUAGUUGCGCACGAGGAAUCUGAGCUCCGACACAAUGAUUCUUCUAUGGCUUUACAGAGUUAGUAUGUGAUGCUUAACUACCUAGCUGGAAGUGGCAAUGAAAACGCGGUUUCCAAGUUUUGUUGCCCGAAAUUCAGAAAUGUUGUUUGCUGACUGUCAUGAUGAUGAUGCAAGUUGUUUGGCACAUAUUAAGGUCUGCUCGAUGUUUGUGAUUGGAUAUGCAGGGCAUUGCAGCUUGCUGUAGAUAGCCACUGAUGAUUAUGAAUCAGUGUUGCAGGGUCCUGUAUACAUUGUAUAUAGGCUGAUGCUUCUACAUUUGGUAAUGUUUGUUUAUUGCUAAUGUUCAUGAGCUAAAGUAGUUAAUUAAAUGUUAGUCUCUUAUCACUUCUGCUUGUGAUGUGGUUAUUUUGUUUGGAUAAGGAGGGUUGCACCUGGAGCUGAAGUCAUGGCAAGAUUUUCGCCAAGCCGUGGGACCUCUUUCAUGCUUAAUUAUGCAGAAUUUUACAGGAUGCAUUAGGACUGGAUGGCGCUGUUAUGAUGCAAGGCUCUCUCUUCUGCAUGGUCUGAAUACAUUAGGGCUGACUUUGCAUUGAAUCAAGACCUCGAAACAUACACAUGAUGAACAUUCCAUGGCCAAAUGCAAACUAAGCUUUCUUGUAGUGGAAGUAGGCUUGAAUGGAGGGCUUAAUGGGAUGAUGUAGGAUGAUGACUUAAGAUCCAAGAAACUUAGGAUUUAAGCUUAGAGAAAUAUAGGGUUGACUUUGGUCUAAGUUGACCAAAAAGUCAAUGGUUGACCAAAGUCAACCUUUGCCAAUUUUGUAAAAAAAAUUGUAUGAAUCUUGGUAAGUGGUAUAUGUAUGAAUGAAUAACUUUUAAAUGAAUAAGAAUCUCUCAUGGUUUAAUGUAAGAAA